CUUCUUAGUCUUGAAAAAAUACUUUUCAUUUAGUUUUAUCUCUUUUGGAACUUUCUAUGUUUUGUAAUAGAUCACUUGGUUUCUCGUUCUUAUUUUUGUUUUUGAUUUCGCGAUUAUUGAUCAUUUUUGUUAUCAACACAUUCACCUCUUUCUUCAUCUUCCAUACCUCUUUGUUGCCAUUAGUUGAAAGAAAAAUGAAAAAACAUAUUAAUUUAACACUAUGUACAAUAUAAUAUAAAAUAUAACCAAUAUAAUAUCAGACCAUACUGAUUCUGAAAUAAAAUGUAAACAAUAAUAUUUUUUAAAAAGUUGAUGUAUUAGAUAUCUAUCAUAUAGGAAGUCCACUUUUCAAAUACUCUUUUGCUUGUAUUUUAUUUAGAAUAAAGUAUUGAUUUUUUUUUUAAGUUACCAUAAGUUUAUAAAUCCAAAAAGUAUAUUAGUCUUUCCAAGUUUUGUUUGCAUAACCAAUCUUUCAAAUACAUAUUUUCGUCUUGAUAGUUGCUACCAAAACAAGCUUUUGAAAGAAUACCUCUGAAAGAACCUUCAAAUCAUGGUUAAUCGCCAAAUCUAAGGUUUUUCCUUUAUUUUCUUCUAUAGAUUUAUCCCCUUUUUUGACAAUUUCUAUAGCAGAAUCUUUCAUACUAUAUAAAAUUGUUUACAUAAAAUAAACAAAUAUAAAAUAUAAAUAUUAAAUAAAAUAUAAAUAUUAUUUUACAUUUAUGAAAGUAGAAAACACAUUGACAUUUAAUAAAAAGAAUUUUAGUAAAAUAAUUAUUAUAUUUAUUGAUUAUAUAGUUUUAAACGUGUGCAUCAAACUUAAAGAAUGAUGUUUUGAAACAGGGGAAAUAUAUACAAACCUUAAUUUUGCUCAUGAAUAAUUCAGCAAUAAUAACAUUCCUUUGAUAGACCUAUGUUUCACCAUUGGCUCUUAGGA
rnacentral:lncRNA from 1 species